CGUGCCACUGCACUCCAGCCUGGGUGACAGAGCAAGACUGUGUCUCAAAAAAAAAGAGAAAGAAAUGAAGAACAGCCCAGAGGUCUUGCAGUUCCAAAAUCAACGUGGAAUGUUCUACCCAGUCUGUGUUCCUGAAGACAGAUGGGAGGAGAAUGGCCAGGAUCAUGAUGGCCCUGUCUGUGGAGAGAGGGCCUGGAGAAAAAUGAGGGUGCGUCUGUACUGAGCAAAUCCCAACAGGACGGAGAAGCCUUUUGCCAGCGCUACGCUCCCAUGCAAAGCUGCAAGAGGAUACAAAAGCAAAGAGUUCCCUCUGGCGAGGCCUUGCAGGGCUCUGUGAGGCUGGCCAGGGCACAGGAGUGCCUCGCUGACUGGGAGAAAUUGGGAAAUAAAGUUCACAGAUAUAAGUGAAUUUUCUAAACACCUGUGAAAGUGCUGAGACUUAUUUUAUUUUCUGAAAAAAUAUUUGAACACAACAGUUCACACUGAUAACUGAAUAAUCAUCAGUUAAUGGUAACCCAGGACUCUCUGUUUUAGUCCAACUGGAAGAAAAGGCCAUGAAGGAGAAUAGAAGUGAUUUUUUCAAGGAAAAAGGGCGACUUUUCCCUUGUGUGGAAAGUUUUCCUCAGCCAGCAAGUCAGAGGAAAGGAGACACAGGUGUGGAGCCUGGCUCCAUCAGGAACUGUGUUCCUCCAGCUGAAAGACGCUGAAGUGCAAGGGCAGCCACACAGCAUGGGGAAGAGCAAUGUUGAGGUGGAGAGAGAAGCAGAUGAGCCCUGAGGACUUACCCCAAUGUCCCACACUCUACCCAUCAAAACGAAGCAACAUAUUUUAAAAUUUUGGGCAACAUCUCAGAACCACCCACUAACAACCGUACACCCUGACAGAACCUUCUAAGCCGUUACGGAAGGGACAGAGGGAGACGCUGCCUCUGGUCAUUAUUCUGAGCGCUGUAUUAUGAACAUGAUGACAGAAUGCACUCGACCUGCUUUAGAAGUCUGAUCUUUGUAUGGCAGUAUUUCUGAACACUUAGCCAAGGAACCCUCAAUUCUAAGAACAGCACCAGCUUUCCUGAGAACGCUUGCUCAAAGGCAUAUUUGUUUAAGGAAUAUUUUUUAUACAGUGAGGCCAAGCUGCCAUAAAAAUGACCGAAACAACAAAUCCUCAGGUAUAUUACACACUAGGCAGGCUUCAAGGCCAACCCAGGCCCAAUAGGGGUCUGAAAAACACAAGCAAAAUCAAUCCACUCUGGGCAUCGCUCCUUUGGACAUCAGAGUGUGUCCACAUGUAGCGACCACUGGGUGGCCACUGUCUGUCCUCUGCCUUGGCACUCGGUCAAUAUUUAACAAAUAUUUAUUGAAUGAAUGUCUGCACCCUGUAGGAAGAAAUCUGAAUUGUAUUAAUCUUACUCUGUAUAAUAUGACAGACUUUAAGAAAUAAUAAAAUAAAGCAAAGCUUUUAAAAGCUGAUAAA